rnacentral:rRNA from 1 species
UCAAGACUAAGCCAUGCAUGUCUAAGUAUAAGCGAUCUUAUACGGUGAAACUGCGAAUGGCUCAUUAAAUCAGUUAUAGUUUAUUUGAUGGUCUCUCACCACUUGGAUAACCGUGGUAAUUCUAGAGCUAAUACAUGCGUCGAGUCCCGACUAUCGCGGAAGGGAUGUAUUUAUUAGAUUGAAGACCAAUGCGGGGCCUCGGUCCCGGUCUGUUGGUGAUUCAUAGUAACUGUUCGGAGCGCAGGGCCUCUCGUGCCGGCGCCGGAUCAUUCAAGUUUCUGCCCUAUCAACUGUCGAUGGUAAGGUAUCGGCUUACCAUGGUUGCAACGGGUGACGGAGAAUUAGGGUUCGAUUCCGGAGAGGGAGCCUGAGAAACGGCUACCACAUCCAAGGAAGGCAGCAGGCGCGCAAAUUACCCAAUCCCGACACGGGGAGGUAGUGACAAUAAAUAACAAUACAGGGCUUUCGUAAGUCUUGUAAUUGGAAUGAGAACAAUUUAAAUCCCUUAACGAGGAACAAUUGGAGGGCAAGUCUGGUGCCAGCAGCCGCGGUAAUUCCAGCUCCAAUAGCGUAUAUUAAAGUUGUUGCAGUUAAAAAGCUCGUAGUUGGAUUUCGGCGGCGCCGCGUCGGUCCGCCUGGCGGCGUGUCACUGUCGCGGCGCGGCUUUCUCUCGAGGGCCGCGCGUGCUCUUGAGUGAGCGUGCGCGGGACUCGGGACGUUUACUUUGAAAAAAUUA